rnacentral:rRNA from 1 species
UGAAAAUUAAAGGGCCGCGGUAUUUUGACCGUGCAAAGGUAGCAUAAUCAUUAGUCUUCUAAUUAAAGGCUGGAAUGAAUGGUUGGACGAGGUAUUAGCUGUCUCACUAGAAUGGGUUAAAACUUAACUUUUUAGUUAAAAGGCUAAAAUAAUAUUGGAGGACGAGAAGACCCUAUAGAUCUUGAUACCCUUAUUGUCAAACCUUUUUAGGAGAGAUUAGGUUUGACAAGGUGGGUAUUUUGUUGGGGUGACAGGGAAAUAAAAUAAACUAUUCUUAAGGCAAUAC